GGUGAACGCGGGCGGCGUGCCUAAUACAUGCAAGUCGAGCGAAUGGAUUAAGAGCUUGCUCUUAUGAAGUUAGCGGCGGACGGGUGAGUAACACGUGGGUAACCUGCCCAUAAGACUGGGAUAACUCCGGGAAACCGGGGCUAAUACCGGAUAACAUUUUGAACCGCAUGGUUCGAAAUUGAAAGGCGGCUUCGGCUGUCACUUAUGGAUGGACCCGCGUCGCAUUAGCUAGUUGGUGAGGUAACGGCUCACCAAGGCAACGAUGCGUAGCCGACCUGAGAGGGUGAUCGGCCACACUGGGACUGAGACACGGCCCAGACUCCUACGGGAGGCAGCAGUAGGGAAUCUUCCGCAAUGGACGAAAGUCUGACGGAGCAACGCCGCGUGAGUGAUGAAGGCUUUCGGGUCGUAAAACUCUGUUGUUAGGGAAGAACAAGUGCUAGUUGAAUAAGCUGGCACCUUGACGGUACCUAACCAGAAAGCCACGGCUAACUACGUGCCAGCAGCCGCUGUAA
rnacentral:rRNA from 1 species